AGGACGAACGCUGGCGGCGUGCCUAACACAUGCAAGUCGGACGAGGUCCAUGUAGUGGCAACACUACGGAAGGCCUAGUGGCGAACGGGUGAGUAACACGUGAGGAACUUGCCCCGGAGACCGGGAUAACUCUUCGAAAGGGGAGCUAAUACCGGAUGUUCUCACCGAGUCGCAUGGCUUGGUGAGGAAAUGGAUUCCGCUCCGGGAGAGCCUCGCGGCCUAUCAGCUAGUUGGAGGGUAACGGCCACCAAGGCAUCGACGGGUAGCUGGUCUGAGAGGACGAUCAGCCACACUGGGACUGAGACACGGCCCAGACUCCUACGGGAGGCAGCAGUGGGGAAUCUUGCGCAAUGGGCGAAAGCCUGACGCAGCAACGCCGCGUGCGGGAUGACGGCCUUCGGUGUAAACCGCUUCAGUGGACGAAACAGACGUACCACAGAAGAAGCCCGCAACUACGUGCCAGCAGCCGC
rnacentral:rRNA from 1 species